GAACGCCGUAUGAGGUGAAAGCCUCACGUACGGUGUGGGCGAGGGGAAAAGGGAGCGAUAACUUCAAACCCUUACCUAUUCGUAU
rnacentral:ncRNA from 1 species